rnacentral:lncRNA from 1 species
GUACACUUGGGAGCGCACUUGGAGUUGUGACAUAACUCCAUCUCUGUCCAAAUCAGAGAAGCGCCUACGUUAUCGCUUGUGUCUAGCAGCCUUCAUCGCAUCAAUAGUGUCCAACGUUUCCUUCUCGCUUCAAAGUUUUCACGUUCUUUAUAUUAUAUAUGUGUUAUUAUCUUUUGGCUAACAUUUUACCCAUGAGUAUUUCCUUUAUAUUUAUGCUAUACUUUUAUUUUGUUUGGGUUUGUACGGAUCAACUAAAAAUGGUGGUAAGACGUAGUUGCCACCUCGCUUCCC